rnacentral:lncRNA from 1 species
ACUUGGGCUCGCGUCCUCGGCCGCGCCGCGCGGCACCCGGGCCCAGCAGCCGGGAGGCGGCAGCUCUCCUCUACGCCCGUCCCCUCAGGGCGGCUGUGGAUGUUGCCAGUAUUGUCGAUGCUUCAGAGCGACGUUUGCCCUGCGACACAGGCGGGCCGGCUCUCCUCUGUCUUUAUUUUCCUGGAGGCCGACAGGAGCGGGGCCCGAGUUCGGUGGUGGUCGUGAGCGUGGGGGGCACUCAGGCCCGGACGGGCUCUCAGGUCGCCGACGGCGGCGGCUGGAGGCCGCGCUGGCUGUCCCAGGUCGUCGUUAGCUUUAGGGAGCCGAUCUCCGGGCGGCCCCACAGAGGACGCCCGCGAUUCGAUGGCGAUGAUGCCCGUUUUAAAUGGUGUCCCUGCAGCCGGGUGGAUGGAUGGAUCGUACACCUUGCCUUUUGAGAGCCGGGACCUUACGCCCGACUGCGUGUUAUUUCUGCGAAUAAGAACGCAACCUUUGGAGGUGAAGACGACUGUCGGCUGGAUUGAAUUGGAAUCGUGUUUGUGAUGAUGCGUUUAUUUCUGGAAAUACGCGGUCUCCGCUGCUUUUGCUUUUUGUCGGCAGAGGUUUGGGUUCUUCUCUAACGGUCAGGAUAAAGGCCUGUAGGCGACGCUGCGCGAGCGAGAAGCUCGCCCGCGGCUGCCCGGGCGCCCCCCUCUAGGUGUGGGUGGAGCCGAGCGCGCGGGGAGAACCGCCGGCCCCGACUCAGCCACCGGUGACUGCGGGCGACCCGCGGGCCUGCGGCCAGCUGAUUUCAAACAUCGUUUUCCUCUUUAGGUUCGGAAAACUGAGGCGCUGGACAAGGCUGGAAUACAAUAUGUGAUUAUACGUACAGUACUAUGGUUGUUGUAGUUUUUAAAUUGUAAAACAAGAAGUAACCAUUGUUCCACCGUUCUCUAUUAAGUUUGUGUAAAUUAAAAAGGGGCUAUUUUCGGUAAAAAGUGCAGUAGGUGUGGUGGUGUCGACCUGUCAUCCCAGC